rnacentral:rRNA from 1 species
AUUGAACGCUGGCGGCAUGCCUAACACAUGCAAGUCGAACGGUAACAGGAAGAAGCUUGCUUCUUUGCUGACGAGUGGCGGACGGGUGAGUAAUGUCUGGGAAACUGCCUGAUGGAGGGGGAUAACUACUGGAAACGGUAGCUAAUACCGCAUAACGUCGCAAGACCAAAGAGGGGGACCUUCGGGCCUCUUGCCAUCGGAUGUGCCCAGAUGGGAUUAGCUAGUAGGUGGGGUAACGGCUCACCUAGGCGACGAUCCCUAGCUGGUCUGAGAGGAUGACCAGCCACACUGGAACUGAGACACGGUCCAGACUCCUACGGGAGGCAGCAGUGGGGAAUAUUGCACAAUGGGCGCAAGCCUGAUGCAGCCAUGCCGCGUGUAUGAAGAAGGCCUUCGGGUUGUAAAGUACUUUCAGCGGGGAGGAAGGGAGUAAAGUUAAUACCUUGGCUCAUUGACGUUACCCGCAGAAGAAGCACCGGCUAACUCCGUG